AGAAUCAACGCUGGCGGCGUGCCUAACACAUGCAAGUCGAACGAGAAAGUGGAGCAAUCCAUGAGUAAAGUGGCGCACGGGUGAGUAACACGUGACUAACCUACCCUCGAGUGGGGAAUAACUUCGGGAAACCGAGGCUAAUACCGCAUAAAACCUAAGGGUCAAAGGAGCAAUCCGUUUGAGGAGGGGGUCGCGGCAGAUUAGUUAGUUGGCGGGGUAAUGGCCCACCAAGACGAUGAUCUGUAUCCGGCCUGAGAGGGCGCACGGACACACUGGAACUGAAACACGGUCCAGACUCCUACGGGAGGCAGCAGUGGGGAAUUUUGCGCAAUGGGGGAAACCCUGACGCAGCAACGCCGCGUGGAGGAUGAAAUCCCUUGGGAUGUAAACUCCUUUCGAUCGGGAAGAUAAUGACGGUACCGGAAGAAGAAGCCCCGGCUAACUUCGUGCCAGCAGCCGC
rnacentral:rRNA from 1 species